rnacentral:rRNA from 1 species
AGAGAGAGACAUGCGCGCAUAUCAAUAAGCGGAGGAAAAGAAACUAACAAGGAUUCCCUUAGUAACGGCGAGUGAAGCGGGAAGAGCUCAAUUUGAAAUCUUCAAGGUUCUACCUUGACGAAUUGUAGUUUAAAGAAGUGUUUUCUGUUGAAGUUUUGGUAAAAGUUCUUUGGAAUAGGACAUCAUAGAGGGUGAGAAUCCCGUAUUUGACCAUUAUUUUCCAGCUUUGUGAUACACUUUCAAAGAGUCGGAUUGUUUGGGAAUGCAGUCCAAAAUGGGUGGUAAAUUUCACCUAAAGCUAAAUAUUGGCGAGAGACCGAUAGCGAACAAGUACCGUGAGGGAAAGAUGAAAAGAACUUUGAAAAGAGAGUUAAACAGUACGUGAAAUUGUCAAAAGGGAAGCGUUUGACACCAGUGUUGUUUUCUCGAAAAUCAAUUAAAAAUGGCUCGAUUUUGUAUUGUUGAGACCUUAAAAGCUCACUGUACAUUUUUCGUGUCUUUUUUAAUGCACUUUUCGUUUAACAAGUCAACAUCAGUUUCUUUUGUUGUAAAAGGGUCAUUGGAAGGUGGCUUUCUUUUCGGAGAAAGUGUUUAUAGCCUUUGGCCUCUGCGAUCGGAGAGACUGAGGUCUGCAGCGUAGACUCUUCGGGGUUAGAUACAUUUGUGCUAAGUUAUAGCUUUUAUAGACAACUUGUUGACUAUGAUUAGUCAUUGUAGCUUACUCGCUUAUGCUAUUUUACCUACGCUUAGGAUGUUGAGUCGUAGAGCACGCAG